AACAGAGAAACAUUGGAUUGUUAGAUCGUCAAUCUGUAAAUUCUUUAAUUUCACACUGAAGCACUUAAACAUCAUUUUGUAUAUGGGUCAAUGACAGGUUUUUUUUUUUUUUUUUUUUCCAAAAGCCUUAAUAAUAAUAAUAAAAAAAGAUAUGAAAUCCAAAGUAUGUAAGGUAGUACAACUAGAUCUUUUUUAUUGAAUCCAGAAGGUUUUAAUUAUAUUUUGGUACAUAUAAAGGUGUUUUAAAGAUUUUGAAGUGUCAAAAGGUCAUUCAAUUUAACUGUCCAAAGGACAAUACAAGCCAUUUCAUUUGUGAUUAAAAUAUCUUAAAAUGUAAUAAAUGUAUAUAUUUUUUUAUUCUGGCAUGAUUUUAUAACAUCAUAUAUCAACAUAGUGCAAAAUGGUAUUAAAAAUAUCCGUUGCUUUGUUAUGAGAAAGAAUAUCCGGAAAAAUGAAUUUCAUUGAUGUCAUUCGGAGUAACCAAUAUAAAGGGACCAUAUUGGAUCAAGUCAUGCGGUAAAUAUCAUGUGACAGGAUGUGACAUCAUUCAGACACCUGCAAAGGACCACAUGGUCAUGAAGCAAAGUAACUAACUCUCUUUUAACUAUUUGAAAAAUUUAUGUUUUCACUUGCUCAUACGCAUGUCCCGAAACAUCAGAGCUUUCCAUUAUUGCGUUCACAACUAUUGGCAUCACACUGGCAGUAAUCACCACUGUAGUGGCCUUGACACACACACUUGCCACACUGACAGAUGCCAUGCCCACUGCACACCAGCGAGCUGUUGUCAGGCUGACAGGACGCCAGCAUUUUGAAGGAACCGUUAUCAUUAAGAUGACACUGUCCAUUAUGUGGCUGAAAGACACCACCUAAUCGUCCAUCUCCUGCCAUGUGGAAAGUAUCAUCAGAUGUGUAAACCAAAAUCCGUGUCACAUCAUGCCAUUGGAUUUUCUCCU